GACAGAGGGUGCAAACGUUGUUCGGAAUUACUGGGCGUAAAGCGUGCGCAGGCGGGCUUUUAAGCCAGACGUGAAAUCCCCGGGCUUAACCUGGGAAUGGCGUUUGGGACUGGGAGUCUGGAGUCCGGAAGAGGAGAAUGGAAUUCCUGGUGUAGCGGUGAAAUGCGCAGAUAUCAGGAAGAACACCCGUGGCUAAGGCGGUUCUCUAGUACGGUACUGACGCUGAGACGCGAAAGCGUGGGGAGCGAACAGG
rnacentral:rRNA from 1 species